rnacentral:misc_RNA from 1 species
GUUCUUGUUGAAAUGACUUGGAUUAUGCUAUGUGUGGAUUACUCGAGGCUUUUUUGGUUAUUGUUUGGUGUUUUUUCCUACGAAAAUCAUGAGGGAAAGCCUCGGAUAAUCUAGCACAAGCUCUACAUCCAUAUCCACUCUCCAUCUUCAAUAAUUUCUAUAGAUUGUAGUGUUUGACAACAAAUAUCAUAUAUAAAGUAUAUUUUUAGCUGAUACAAACACGUAUUUAAGAGGGCUGCAACUAAAAAAUUCUCUG